AGAGUUUGAUCCUGGCUCAGGACGAACGCUGGCGGCGUGCUUAACACAUGCAAGUCGAACGGAAAGGCCCUUCGGGGUACUCGAGUGGCGAACGGGUGAGUAACACGUGGGUGAUCUGCCCUGCACUUUGGGAUAAGCCUGGGAAACUGGGUCUAAUACCGAAUAUGACCAUGCGCCUCCUGGUGUGUGGUGGAAAGCUUUUGCGGUGUGGGAUGGGCCCGCGGCCUAUCAGCUUGUUGGUGGGGUAAUGGCCUACCAAGGCGACGACGGGUAGCCGGCCUGAGAGGGUGACCGGCCACACUGGGACUGAGAUACGGCCCAGACUCCUACGGGAGGCAGCAGUGGGGAAUAUUGCACAAUGGGCGCAAGCCUGAUGCAGCGACGCCGCGUGAGGGAUGACGGCCUUCGGGUUGUAAACCUCUUUCAGCACAGACGAAGCGCAAGUGACGGUAUGUGCAGAAGAAGGACCGGCCAACUACGUGCCAGCAGCCGCGGUAAUACGUAGGGUCCGAGCGUUGUCCGGAAUUACUGGGGGUAAAGAGCUCGUAGGUGGUUUGUCGCGUUGUUCGUGAAAACUCACAGCUUAACUGUGGGCGUGCGGGCGAUACGGGCAGACUUGAGUACUGCAGGGGAGACUGGAAUUCCUGGUGUAGCGGUGGAAUGCGCAGAUAUCAGGAGGAACACCGGUGGCGAAGGCGGGUCUCUGGGCAGUAACUGACGCUGAGGAGCGAAAGCGUGGGGAGCGAACAGGAUUAGAUACCCUGGUAGUCC
rnacentral:rRNA from 1 species